AACCAAACAGCCCCUACGCCUCAUCAGUCAUCACCCUCUCAACGCGCGACUCACUCCUGGCGUUGUCGUCCCCUUCCGCCGCCGGCGCGCACUGAACGAGAGGCGAGGUCUUCCCACCGCUGGAGCUUCCCCAUCCACCGCGGCCGGCCGCAGGUCCCCAUCCGUCGCCCGGAGCCGACGUCGUCCCCAACCGCCGCCGCCGGAGACAAGGUCUUCCCGAUGCGCCGCCGCCGCCGCAGUCCACCGCUGCCCAUGAGGUCGUUCCCUUCCGCCGCCGCUGCCGCCGUCACCGCGCACUGAACCGGAGGCGAGGUCUUCCCCAGCCCCUGUCUUCAUCGUGCGCAUCCUUGCCGUGCGCCAUGUUUAGUUGUCUUCACCCUCGACGCCUCGGAGCCGGACGCCCGCUGCCCACCACCACACCACCGGACAACCUCUAUCCCUGCCGCCCUCCUCUCCAUCGUGUGCUUGCCUUCUUUAGCCCGAGGAGAGAGGAUUCCUACCACGUCUUUCUGUUGUGCCAGUAUCCUCAUCGAUGAAUGAUUUUACCACAGCAGCAAAGCGGUUGCCAUCUGCUGGUAUUAUCCCAGGUUUGCUUUUCCGUCUCCUCUCCUUCUCAAUUCCUUUAUGUGCCCUUGUUCAGAUUGCAUUUACUUUCUCUUUCUCCUUUCUGCUAUCAAAUAGGAUCAAUGAAUUGUUCCGUGAAUGCUAAUUAUAUUAUGAGAAUUUUUCCCCGGCAAAAAAAAAAAACAAAUGAAAUCUGUAGCAAUAUGCUAUAUAUUAAUCUUGAAUUUGUGAGAAUGUCAACAUUCAACCUUUCGACUAUGACCCUAUGUCACACUGAUUCAUUGUCAUAUCUGUUGAUUUCCAAAUUUGCUUAAUCGAUACAUGUUAAAAUGCAAUUCCAAUAUAUAUGAAAAAUAACAAAAUUGAUAAAAUGUUUGAUUAUGCUCUGGAAAUUAUACAAAAUGAAAAGCUCAAUCUAUAUGUAAAUCAUUGAUUCUGGGUACUUAUUCAACUACAAAAGGCAUUGCCCCAGAUCCCAACUUUCAUAACUUUAUUAGUUUGUCAUUUUUGUUUUUGAUCCUUGCACAUGAUGACAGUACCUCUGAGGUAUUGUUUCACUUUCACCCUAAAUUUACAUGAAAAAUCCUAAAUGCAAUUUGUUUUACCUAUGUAAAUGAUGCAAGAUGCAAGUGUAGGAGCUGAAAAUUUCUCUUUCAGGGACCAAGAAGAAUACAAACUUAACAGUUAGGUAUAAUCAUAAGAUUAUAUAUUGUGUUUCAUUUUGUUAUCAUUAAACUGAUCCACAUGAUGUUCAAGUGAUUACACAAGUGCAUAGAUUGUUUUAAAAGUUGGGUUCGAUAGAUAUGUAGAAUUCCAUGCCGCCAUCAGUGAUACCUCGCAAGCAAGCCACAAUGUCUGCACCUAGGCCUUCAGCGGCUCCAGCUACUGCGUGCUGCAGAUGGUACCCUUCCAUUACGGUGAGGGGGUCUUCUAGAUUAGCUAUCACGGUUUUUUUUUUCAUGUUUGUGCAUGAUUGGAGUAUCUCUUUUUUUUCGGCUGUACUGAAAUUUGGUUUGUGAUUAACCUGUGAAAGUAUCUGUUUGCACUGCUCGAUAUCCUUUAUUUUGAAAGCGACAUCCCGAGGAGGAAGGCUCUUGUGCUAAAGAAAAUCUUUAGUUCCUCUCCUUCCAAUUUUUUCGGUUCUUCUUUUUGUUUUGAUUAAUGAAACCAGAAAUUCUUGAACUGAAGGAAAAACAGGUAGCUCUACUGUGUUUAUGGUCUUUCCUGUUGAAGUAGGAAUUCAUAGGUGUGUGGCAAUGCUCAGCGAUUGCACAAGUGAAGGGGAUGCAAUUAGACUUGGAAAUGGAGUUAGAAGGCUUAAAGAAUGGACGAAGGCAUAUAUCCUCUUCAAAGAAUGAGGUCUCAAGGGAUUUGGUUGUCAAUGUAAAAUCACAGAUGAAACAAUCUUUGUUGGUGGCUGCCCGGGGUUGCCAAGCGGUGUCUCCACCUCUGACUCCAUUCAUGUAAUCAUGUUCAUGGUCUGCUCCAUUGAGUUUAUUUUUACUGGAUGCACAUCCUUCCAUUAGUAGUUCUUGCAAGAAACUGAAAUAAGUAACAGUCGUAUAGCAUUAUGCUGCUAGUAUCUUCAGUAAAGAAUGUAUUGUCAUUUGCUUACCUCUUUUGUGUUUUCUUCUUCUGAUGCUUAGAGACACAAAAACAAGCGUGUACAAACGAUGGAAAGAGAAUAAACUGUAAUUAGUGAUCAA